rnacentral:rRNA from 1 species
ACGGCGAGUGAAGCGGCAACAGCUCAAAUUUGAAAUCUGGCCCUUUCAGGGUCCGAGUUGUAAUUUGUAGAGGGUGCUUUGGCGUUGGCUGCGGUCUAAGUUCCUUGGAACAGGACGUCACAGAGGGUGAGAAUCCCGUACGUGGCUGACAGCCCUCGCCGUGUAAAGCCCCUUCGACGAGUCGAGUUGUUUGGGAAUGCAGCUCUAAAUGGGAGGUAAAUUUCUUCUAAAGCUAAAUACUGGCCAGAGACCGAUAGCGCACAAGUAGAGUGAUCGAAAGAUGAAAAGCACUUUGGAAAGAGAGUCAAAAAGCACGUGAAAUUGUUGAAAGGGAAGCGCUUGCAGCCAGACUUGCCUGUAGUUGCUCAUCCGGGCUUUUGCCCGGUGCACUCUUCUGCGGGCAGGCCAGCAUCAGUUCGGGCGGAUGGAUAAAGGCCUGCUAAAUGUACCUCUCCUCGGGGAGGACUUAUAGGGUAGGCGUCAUACAUCCAGCCUGGACUGAGGUCCGCGCAUCUGCUAGGAUGCUGGCGUAAUGGCUGUAAGCGGCCCGUCUUGAAACACGGACCAAGGAGUCUAACAUCUAUGCGAGUGUUUGGGUGUCAAGCCCGGGCGCGUAAUGAAAGUGAACGGAGGUGGGAACCCCUCGGGGCGCACCAUCGACCGAUCCUGAUGUCUUCGGAUGGAUUUGAGUAAGAGCAUAGCUGUUGGGACCCGAAAGAUGGUGAACUAUGCCUGAAUAGGGUGAAGCCAGAGGAAACUCUGGUGGAGGCUCGCAGCGGUUCUGACGUGCAAAUCGAUCGUCAAAUUUGGGCAUAGGGGCGAAAGACUAAUCGAACUAUCUAGUAGCUGGUUCCUGCCGAAGUUUCCCUCAGGAAAACUGCGAAUGGCUCAUUAAAUCAGUUAUCGUUUAUUUGAUAGUACCUUACUACUUGGAUAACCGUGGUAAUUCUAGAGCUAAUACAUGCUAAAAUCCCCGACUUCGGGAGGGGUGUAUUUAUUAGAUAAAAAACCAAUGCCCUUCGGGGCUCCUUGGUGAUUCAUAAUAACUUAACGGAUCGCAUGGCCUUGCGCCGGCGACGGUUCAUUCAAAUUUCUGCCCUAUCAACUUUCGAUG